UUAUGCUGCUGUGCACUUUGCUGAAGUCCUAAUAUCAUCUCCAUACGCUGCCCACCGCCUCAAGGAGUGGCUACAUGUGUGCUGAAUUAAUAAAUGAUGGACUACACAAAUGGAUAAAGCAAUUGGAUAUAAUUUUUUAAUUUUAUUUAUUUAUGUGACAGAGAGACAGCCAGCAAGA